CUGGGGGAUUCCAGAAUUUGAAAGUUCAGAGCUGGAAAGAUAAACAUCACUGAGUAUCCCUCACUCCCGCAUUGUUUCUCUUCAGGAACAGAAAAGGAACAGAAAACCAGCCUGUGCGGAAAUUCAUCCAUCUGCAGACGUUGUUAAGGGAACUGCUGCUGAAAUGACGUUUGCGGGUUCCUCCCUUUCCUCUUUGUCGACACCCCACCCACCUCUUAAGAAAAAAGAAAGAAAGAAAGAAAAAGCUUUGAUUCUUAGUCCAAGUAGAGACGGGGUUUCACCAUGUUGACCAGAAUGGUCUAGAUCUCUUGACCUCGUGAUCCACCUGCCUCGGCCUCCCAAAGUGAUGGGAUUACAGGCGUGAGCCACCGCGCCGGUAAGUUUCAACUAGCUUGGCCCUGCAAACCUCUUCUUCAUUUCCAGAGAUGAAACUUAAUGGAGUGAAAUUAGAAGGAAACUUGGUGCUGGUUUUCUCCCUUACAGGCUGUCACUUAGAAUGAAUUAACUGCCCUGUAAGCGGGUUACCUGAUCCAUUACAUGAAAUAAUCCUACUUCCCCUGCCAUACUUCACAGGGUUGUUGAACAAAAUAAUAUAUUGAACCCAGGUUUUUUUUGUUUUUGUUUUUGUUUUUAAAGAAAUGGGGUCUGGCUUUGUUGGCCAGGCUGGUUUUGAACUCCUAGGCUCAAGCAAUCCUCCUCCCUCAGCCUCUGGGUAGCUGGAACUACAGGCUUGAACCCAAAUUCUGUUUAUAAAUUACAAGGUGUAUAUCAUAUGAAAGAAUCUUAUCCU
rnacentral:lncRNA from 13 species